CCCCCCCCCCCCGAGCGUAUGUGCUGAGAGUCUGACCUGUGGCUAGCUUCCACCCAACGGGUUACAGAACAGCCCCGGCCCUCCCCGCCACUUGCCCUGUCAACGUAUGUGUUUGAGUUCAAAACCAGCUGCUCCUGAACAAACUGCAUUACCGGGAAGGGCCGCUGUGCCAAAGGACAUUGAAGUUUUUUUUCAUUUUCAUGACAAGCACAACUGUGUGGACCUGUCGAUUGGAGAGCAACUCUCACUGUCAAGCCGUCUUCACAUUGUGGGGAAAUAACAUUUCAAAUUGAAGCUGGUAAUAUAAUCGCAGUAAUUAUUUAACGGGGCGAUAUUUUUGCCCUGUCUUCAAUGAGAUAAAGGGUUAACUCCCAAGGAACCUGUUUGGCUGGACAUACCAAGCGUUAAUCCGUCACCAGCCAGUUUGAGGGUCACAGUUUUAAGCUCCAUUUCCUCACGCUUUAUAUCUGAGCCUCCACGGGGGCCAAUUGUGACUCAGUGCAUAAGGAGGAGUGGCUAAGCUGUAUCCUUUCAGCAUUUAAUUAAAAUCGUGUGAAUGUAUAAAUCCACAAGCUGCGUCUUCAUGCUACAGCCCUGCCCAUAUCUCUGCCCUGCCUGUCCACAGCUGACAGGCCUGCUUAAUUGACAGUAAACAUGCAAACACUCGAGUGAUAGGAGCAUAAAGACCAGUUCAUCAUCACAUGAAAUGGUAAUCAUCAUAUGAGGGGGUAAUAUGUGCAAUUAACGCAGCAAAUGUCAAAAUUCAGACCUCACCAUAGCCUAUGUUAUUCAUGUAAUUCAAUUCAGUAUUUAGCCAUUUUAGUCAAAUAUAUGUGACAUUACAUGUAGGCAGGUUGUAGUUAAAUCCUGAAUAAAUUCACAGAUGACUGACAGUUUUUAUUGGGAGACAUAAAUCACAUCCAACUCCAGGCCCAUGAUAGCACUUAGGUUCCUCGCCCCCGGUUUAGACAAUAUUGAGGUAAAGAUUUUGGACUGAGUUAAAGGUUCUAGAACAGUGCUCUCCAGGACCAGGGUUGUGGAGACCCCUGUUCUAGAACUUUACAGAAAGUAAAAGGGAAGCUUUUGCUUUGGGUAGGUGUAAAUAAAUAAAUAAAUUCCCUGAAGAAUAUCUGUGACUGACUAUGAAUUUUGACUUUUUUUUUUUUCUGCCAUAUGUCACAACAGGGUAUGUCUCUAUGGACUAUUUCUUAAUUUACCCAUCAUGCAUUUGCUCUCUGUGCUGCUUGUGCCAAGCUGUGCUCUCAAAGGCAAAGUGUAUGAAGGCAAUGCUCCAUUAUUCAAUAGAUAUGGACACUUAUACAGAAAAUCAGCCCGGCUGCAGGGAUCGGCACUUAAUGGUAGAUUUUGUGUGUAACAUUUUAUCUGAGAGUGAACAAUAACAUUUUAGCCAGCUGUGCAAUGGCUUACGCUUCUGUGGAAUUUCCUUGUUUGUAUGAAGUGUGAAAGAAUACGCUAACGAAAAGCAGGAUUGAAACAAUGAACAUCUUUUUUAAAACGCUACCAGUAAACAUUUGAAUGAGUUGUUUUUCUGCUGUAGAUUCCAGCUCUUUAAUUUGCAGAUGGCACAAAAAGGAAAGUCACUUUGUAAGAUUUUGUGUUUGUCACUUUUCAAACAAUUUAUUAUUGAGAAUGUAUUAUUAAACAAUAUUCAUAUUUU